rnacentral:rRNA from 1 species
UACGUAGGAUGCAAGCGUUGUCCGGAAUUAUUGGGCGUAAAGAGCGCGCAGGCGGUAUGACAAGUCAGAUGUGAAAGAGGCCGGCUUAACCGGCAAGGGUCAUUUGAAACUGUCAGACUAGAGUGCAGCAGAGGAUAGUGGAAUUCCGGGUGUAGUGGUGAAAUGCGUAGAUAUCGGGAGGAACACCAGUGGCGAAGGCGACUAUCUGGGCUGCAACUGACGCUGAGGCGCGAAGGCUAGGGUAGCAAACAGG